rnacentral:lncRNA from 1 species
AUGAGCAUUUUAUUUAUUUAUUUAUUUUUCUCUUUACAGCAGCAUAAAAAAGAAGUGUUGAGAGCUGCUCUUAACCCUUUUGGAGUCCGAAGUCAAAAGGAGAAAAGCAGGGGUACGAUAAGAAGACUCAAAACAUUAUUAGAUCUCUUUAAGAGCACCAGCAUAUCUGGGCCUAAAUUAUGCAGGGAACUAGGGGGCUUGAUACAUCCCUUGCAUCCUGCAUUUACUCUGACCACAGUCCCUCCCUGUUCUCACAAGUGGAGCUCUGCCCUGCUUCCCUUCCUGUUGAUUCCCAGUCAGCUACAUGGUAAGUUUUCAUUAUCUCUCUACUUGUUGCCACAAGGUAAAAUUCUGGCAGACUCUCUCUAAAAUCCAUUAGCACUGGGCAUUGAGGGCAAACUACUUCAUGCCCAUCAAAGAUCAUUCAGUCCUGUUCCAGGCUGACAGUAAGGAAAGGAAGAUAGUAUUGAAUUAGCAUUGGAGCUGAACUUCAGCAUAGAUUGUUAUAGGAAUAAAAUAUGAAGUAAAAUAUGUGACA